rnacentral:misc_RNA from 1 species
AAGUCGUAACAAGGUUUCCGUAGGUGAACCUGCGGAAGGAUCAUUAACGUAUCUCUGGCGGGUGCCAGUGCGCCCUGCUCCGGCCCGCAAAGGCCGUGCAGCGGGUGCCCGGCCCUGUCCAACCUUCACAAACCCACCGUGCACAUUCACGGCAGAGGGUCCCCCGUUCCAGCGGGAGUCCCGAAGCCGCUCACACAAACCCCAAAUCAAUGAAUGAAUGAACAGCGACCUUUGUGUCGUCAAAAUUUGAAACAACUUUCAACAACGGAUCUCUUGGCUCUC